GAUGAACGCUGGCGGCGUGCCUAAUACAUGCAAGUCGAGCGAACAGACGAGGAGCUUGCUCCUCUGACGUUAGCGGCGGACGGGUGAGUAACACGUGGAUAACCUACCUAUAAGACUGGGAUAACUUCGGGAAACCGGAGCUAAUACCGGAUAAUAUAUUGAACCGCAUGGUUCAAUAGUGAAAGACGGUUUUGCUGUCACUUAUAGAUGGAUCCGCGCCGCAUUAGCUAGUUGGUAAGGUAACGGCUUACCAAGGCGACGAUGCGUAGCCGACCUGAGAGGGUGAUCGGCCACACUGGAACUGAGACACGGUCCAGACUCCUACGGGAGGCAGCAGUAGGGAAUCUUCCGCAAUGGGCGAAAGCCUGACGGAGCAACGCCGCGUGAGUGAUGAAGGUCUUCGGAUCGUAAAACUCUGUUAUUAGGGAAGAACAAAUGUGUAAGUAACUAUGCACGUCUUGACGGUACCUAAUCAGAAAGUCACGGCUAACUACGUG
rnacentral:rRNA from 1 species